AAUGAUGGUGCCGCUACCAUCAUCAUUGGCAGAGACCAAACGCUCGAAUCCAUAAGUGGGACCCUCGCGCUCGAACUCUCUGCCAAAGAUGUCGCGGCGCCAUUGUC